GUAGUCGGAUUUACAUCAAUCCGCAUGUAUUGAGGUGGAUUGGUGUGGAACUUGAACUACAUUCUAUUCCAAUCCACACCAACACACAUGGAUUGAAGUGAAUUCGACA
rfam:Sorghum bicolor cultivar BTx623 chromosome 9, whole genome shotgun sequence.